rnacentral:rRNA from 1 species
GACUCCUACGGGAGGCAGCAGUGGGAAUUUUGGACAAUGGGGAAACCCUGAUCCAGCAAUGCCGCGUGUGUGAAGAAGGCCUUCGGGUUGUAAAGCACUUUUGUCCGGAAAGAAAACUUCUGCCCUAAUACGGUGGGAGGAUGACGGUACCGGAAGAAUAAGCACCGGCUAACUACGUGCCAGCAGCCGCGGUAAUAC